GAGUUUGAUCAUGGCUCAGGAUGAACGCUGGCGGCGUGCUUAACACAUGCAAGUCGAACGAACCUUCGGGUUAGUGGCGGACGGGUGAGUAACGCGUGAGAAUCUGCCCUCAGGAGGGGGACAACAGCUGGAAACGGCUGCUAAUACCCCAUAUGCCGCGAGGUGAAAUGAAUUUCGCCUGAGGAUGAGCUCGCGUCUGAUUAGCUAGUUGGUGUAGGUAAUGGCUCACCAAGGCAUCGAUCAGUAGCUGGUCUGAGAGGAUGAUCAGCCACACUGGGACUGAGACACGGCCCAGACUCCUACGGGAGGCAGCAGUGGGGAAUUUUCCGCAAUGGGCGAAAGCCUGACGGAGCAACGCCGCGUGAGGGAUGAAGGCCUCUGGGCUGUAAACCCCUUUUAUCAAGGAAGAAGAUCUGACGGUACUUGAUGAAUAAGCCACGGCUAAUUCCGUGCCAGCAGCCGCGGUAAUACGGGAGUGGCAAGCGUUAUCCGGAAUUAUUGGGCGUAAAGCGUCCGCAGGCGGCCCUUCAAGUCUGCUGUUAAAAAGUGGAGCUUAACUCCAUCAUGGCAGUGGAAACUGUUGGGCUUGAGUGUGGUAGGGGCAGAGGGAAUUCCCGGUGUAGCGGUGAAAUGCGUAGGUAUCGGGAAGAACACCAGUGGCGAAGGCGCUCUGCUGGGCCAUCACUGACGCUCAUGGACGAAAGCCAGGGGAGCGAAAGGGAUUAGAUACCCCUGUAGUCCUGGCCGUAAACGAUGAACACUAGGUGUCGGGGGAAUCGACCCCCUCGGUGUCGUAGCCAACGCGUUAAGUGUUCCGCCUGGGGAGUACGCACGCAAGUGUGAAACUCAAAGGAAUUGACGGGGGCCCGCACAAGCGGUGGAGUAUGUGGUUUAAUUCGAUGCAACGCGAAGAACCUUACCAGGGUUUGACAUCCUGCGAAUCUCUUGGAAACAGGAGAGUGCCUUCGGGAACGCAGUGACAGGUGGUGCAUGGCUGUCGUCAGCUCGUGUCGUGAGAUGUUGGGUUAAGUCCCGCAACGAGCGCAACCCACGUCUUUAGUUGCCAGCAUUUAGUUGGGCACUCUAGAGAGACUGCCGGUGAUAAACCGGAGGAAGGUGUGGAUGACGUCAAGUCAUCAUGCCCCUUACAUCCUGGGCUACACACGUACUACAAUGCUACAGACAAAGGGCAGCAAGUUCGCGAGGACAAGCAAAUUCCAUAAACCGUGGCUCAGUUCAGAUCGUAGGCUGCAACUCGCCUACGUGAAGGCGGAAUCGCUAGUAAUCGCAGGUCAGCAUACUGCGGUGAAUACGU
rnacentral:rRNA from 1 species